UACGUAUGGAGCAAGCGUUAUCCGGAUUUACUGGGUGUAAAGGGAGCGCAGACGGACGCGCAAGUCUGAAGUGAAAACCCACGGCUCAACUGUGGGCCUGCUUUGGAAACUGCGUAUCUAGAGUGCCGGAGGGGCAAGCGGAAUUCCUAGUGUAGCGGUGAAAUGCGUAGAUAUUAGGAGGAACACCGGUGGCGAAGGCGGCUUGCUGGACGGUAACUGACGUUGAGGCUCGAAGGCGUGGGGAGCAAAC
rnacentral:rRNA from 1 species